UUAAGUAAGAAUUGAAUAAAUAAUCUGAUUGCAUUGUUUUAAAUAAUUAUUUUGAAUGCAAUUUGAAUAUUUGGGAACAGAAAAAUUUAGAAAAAAACAUGAGCAUUUUAUAUAUUUUUUCUAAAGUUGAAUAGAUUCAAAUAGCGCACAUUUCAUUUCCAUAUGACGUCACAGCUAAAAGUAUACAUAUGUGGAAUCGCGAGGUUGAUCGAAUAGUUGAAGACACGUCAGUGCUCUGCAAAUUACGAAUUCUCUUCCAAGUUCCCAGCAGCAAGUAAAAGCAUCACGAAGUCUUUUUUGUUGCUUGUUUUAGUUUUAAGUUUGAAACCGCCGCAAAGUCUCUGUCAACUGUCGAAACCUUCAAGACCCGACUUUUGGUUUAAUCCCAUUUCAAAUUCCCUCUUCGAAUAACAUAUUUGACCAGUUGGAAGUUGCCAAGAAUAAUAUAUCGAUUGAAUUAUCGAAAUGUCUGGAUCCAAAAAUGAUACCAUCACUCGGGUGUGGAGGUGAAAACAUCACUGCUGAAAAUUUCCUUGAGAAUCUAUCGUCAAAUCUAUUGAUGUGCCUCUUAGAGAAAAUUUGUUACAAUAGUAGUGAGGCAAAUGUAGUAAAUCUGACUAAAUGUAUUACAAAAGCGUCUGGAUUUGCAAUAAGCGCAUUGACAAGCCUAGUUAUUACUUCACGUGAAAAGAAAAUGUAUUUAUGUAUUAUCAGUUUGUAUACCAAUGCCCGUAGUGAACUUCUCAAUUGUGAAUUUUUUUAUAAAAUUUUAUCAUUGGAUAUAGACGGUAUUAUAAAAUAUAUAAAUGAUCGUAUUUUGCACAUUUACUUUGCAAAUCUGGUUAAUUUAAUAAAACUAGCUACAGAAAAAGGGAUGAACGAUUGUAUACUUCUUUAGUAAAUCACAAAUUUUUGUUGAUGUAAAUUUACGAAUCUGCAAUAAAAUGUAAAUUCAGU